rnacentral:tRNA from 1 species
GGUUUUAUAGUCAAUAUUUAUGAUAUCGGACUGCAAUUCCGGAGUAGUAGUUAAUAUACU